GCUGGGCAUGGUGGCGCGUGCCUGUAGUCUCAGCUACUCGGGAGGCUGAGGCAGGAGAAUCGCUUGAGCCUGGGAGGUGGAAGUUGCAGUGAGCCAAGAUCAUGCCACUGCACUCCAGCCUGGGUGACAGAGUGAGACCCUGUCUCAA
rnacentral:SRP_RNA from 1 species